rnacentral:rRNA from 1 species
AGUGAACGCUGGCGGUAGGCCUAACACAUGCAAGUCGAACGGCAGCACAGUAAGAGCUUGCUCUUACGGGUGGCGAGUGGCGGACGGGUGAGGAAUACAUCGGAAUCUACUUUUUCGUGGGGGAUAACGUAGGGAAACUUACGCUAAUAACGCAUACGACCUACGGGUGAAAGCAGGGGAUCUUCGGACCUUGCGCGAUUGAAUGAGCCGAUGUCGGAUUAGCUAGUUGGCGGGGUAAAGGCCCACCAAGGCGACGAUCCGUAGCUGGUCUGAGAGGAUGAUCAGCCACAGUGGAACUGAGACACGGUCCAGACUCCUACGGGAGGCAGCAGUGGGGAAUAUUGGACAAUGGGCGCAAGCCUGUUCCAGCCAUACCACGUGGGUGAAGAAGGCCUUCGGGUUGUAAAGCCCUUUUGUUGGGAAAGAAAAGCAGCAGGUUAAUACCCCGCUGUUCUGACGGUACCCAAAGAAUAAGCACCGGCUAACUUCGUG